rnacentral:lncRNA from 1 species
AAAAAAAUUAUUUAUCACAGGGUCAUCAGGAUUUUAGAGAUGCUAAGGUGGGGUAUGAUCAAAAAAAGGUUGGGAAAUACUAUCUGUAGUCUAAGGGCCGUCAAAGUGGAAUGGAUAGUAGAACUUUAGAACCUUAACCUCCCUAAUGGAACAGAUAUUGUAGACACCUGCCAAAGAGAUAUGGAGAACCUCAGAUUAAAGGACAGGCAAAGGCAUAUAAAGAAAUUAAAAUGGCUUCCUAGAACCCAACUCGAUGGAGGGAAAAAAGGUCAAGCCUUGGGCCUGGAGGAUGUGGCAGUGAUGGUAGGCAGUUUUCAGCUACCGAUGUUUGCGGAGGAGGUGCUCAGGAGGGGCCCCUCUUGCGCAGUAAGAGGUUCUUGUAGUUUUGAGAACCUAUUACCACCGUGUGGGGGUUGAUUGGUGAAUUGGGGGACUUGGAGAGGGAGAGAAAGAACGGUUAUUUGUGGAAGAGAUUAAAAAUUUAAAAGUUAGUCAGUUAGUUAGUUAAAAGUUAGUUAAAGUUUAUUUUUAAAUGGUUUUAUUUAUUUAUUGCAUAAUUUUUUAUGUAGCAAGUGAGAGAAUAUAUGCUUGAAUGUAUGUUUGAUUUUA